GACGAACGCUGGCGGCGUGCUUAACACAUGCAAGUCGAACGGUGAAGGUGGAGCUUGCUCCGCCGGAUCAGUGGCGAACGGGUGAGUAACACGUGGGCAACCUGCCCCAGACUUCGGGAUAACUCCUCGAAAGAGGCGCUAAUACCGGAUACGAGUUCUGCAGGCACCUGCGGAAUUGGAAAGCUUUUCGGUCUGGGAUGGGCCCGCGGCCUAUCAGCUUGUUGUUGAGGUAACGGCUCACCAAGGCGACGACGGGUAGCCGGCCUGAGAGGGCGACCGGCCACACUGGGACUGAGACACGGCCCAGACUCCUACGGGAGGCAGCAGUGGGGAAUAUUGCGCAAUGGGCGAAAGCCUGACGCAGCAACGCCGCGUGCGGGAUGAAGGCCUUCGGGUUGUAAACCGCUUUCAGCAGGGAAGAAGCGAAAGUGACGGUACCUGCAGAAGAAGCACCGGCUAACUACGUGCCAGCCGCCGCUGUAA
rnacentral:rRNA from 1 species